UAGGGAAUCUUCGGCAAUGGACGAAAGUCUGACCGAGCAACGCCGCGUGAGUGAAGAAGGUUUUCGGAUCGUAGAACUCUGUUGUUAGAGAAGAACAAGGACGUUAGUAACUGAACGUCCCCUGACGGUAUCUAACCAGAAAGCCACGGCUAACUACGUGCCAGCAGCCGCGGUAAUACGUAGGUGGCAAGCGUUGUCCGGAUUUAUUGGGCGUAAAGCGAGCGCAGGCGGUUUCUUAAGUCUGAUGUGAAAGCCCCCGGCUCAACCGGGGAGGGUCAUUGGAAACUGGGAGACUUGAGGGCAGAAGAGGAGAGUGGAAUUCCAUGUGUAGCGGUGAAAUGCGUAGAUAUAUGGAGGAACACCAGUGGCGAAGGCGGCUCUCUGGUCUGUAACUGACGCUGAGGCUCGAAAGCGUGGGGAGCAAACAGG
rnacentral:rRNA from 1 species